rnacentral:snRNA from 1 species
GUGCUUGCUCCAGCAGCAUAUAUAUUAAAAUUGGAAUGAUACAGAAAAGAUUAGCAUGGUCCCUGCACAAGGAUGAUAUGCAAAUUUAUGAAGUGUUCCUUCCAUAU